rnacentral:lncRNA from 1 species
UCUGUGGAUGAACAUAUUCAUGAAAGCCAAGUGUCAGUUGGUCACGCUCGAUUUGUCCGAAUUUCGUGAAUUACACGAGUCCAAUUCCAUUUUUCUCCUAUAAUACUCCAUCAUAUGAUUGCCCGUUCCUAUUUUAUUUUUAGUUGAAUUCAAUUGCUAACAUAGGCAUCAACAGCUCCUAAACUUUGGCAAUUUUUCUGCUAUAUAAAUGUCUGUCAAGGAGGGAGUUUUUAUACCAAGGACAUAUUUAGCAGCGAAUGAAAUUAAUUUGCCGUUUGUUAUGAAAGGAAGUUUUUGAAUGAUGAUCGAGUAAUUACAAGGAAUAUGGUUUUAAUAGAACUAUUGCAGUAAUGCAAUUCAUGUGAUAAGAAAAUAACUGUGAUCAAUAAAUGCUGGAAAGAGACACUCUUUAGCACCUGCAACUCUGAACUAGAGAAAGCAAGUAAAAGAAACUGUGGUAACUAAGGAAAAUAAUGUUCAAGAAAAUGAGAAAAAUCCAACUAAUCAACAGAUUACAUCAUUACAGAACACUUAUUGACAUGGUAACUGAUGCUAUGGAAUGGAUAAAGCACCCAUGACUAUCAUGUUCAACAUCUAAAAAGUGGAAUGUAACACAUAGAUACCAACCAGCCUAUCAAGAAAUUUGGAGGGAAGGAAGCUCUUCUUUUUCUUUCUUUAUCCAUAGCAUAAAUAGAAAUCAAUAUUAUAUAUCCAAAUUAAAAAACAUUAUCUUUAACGUAAUGAAAAUCAACAACAUUCUGUACAGUUAGUUAUGCUGACACAAAAAUAUAAUUAAUGUAAAUUACCAUUGAAAUAAAAAAUAAAUUGCAGUUAAAUCACAUAUUAGGAGAACAAUAAAAUGUCACUAUAAUUAAAAAAAAAACUCACUCUUUUUCUUUUGAGUGAAACAGGUUAUCGCAAAGGUUUGUCAUUUAAUUAAUGGAGUUAUCCAUAACUUCUAGUUAACAUAAAAAAAACUAAAUAAUAUUAAUAACUCAUGUAAGGAAACUUUAACAUAAAAAUUAGAUCUCUAGUUGUUGUAUUUAUACUACUAUUAGUAGAGUGCCAUGUACUCCUUCCACAUUGGCUUUACUUUGGUGGGGCUAUGUCCCUCAAAAUAAAUAUUGAAGGUUAAAAUGUUUCUUUGCCCCUUUUAACUCAGUGCUUAUGGUUAAAAGGUUUCUUUUGGGUUUUCUGAAGCAAGCAACUAGAUAUCUUAAAUACCAUUUAAAAUUUGAAGUACCAGAUAUGUUUUUAUAAGAUGCAAUGGGGUAUUUAAAAUAACAUCUAUAAUUUUAAUGUAGACUUUUAUGGUUCUAGAAAGAUGUUGCAGGAUAUCUUCAGUCUCAUCCAGAUUUCAAACCCAACCCAAUGAAAAAUUUCCUAAGCAAAUGAGAAAAAGAACUAAAGGAUUGAUAUGAUGGAAAACCACAAUGCCCUCCAAAGUAAUGCCAUUUUUUGUCCAGUCUCUCUCACUGUACAAUUAUUAGCGCACUACUUGUAAUUAUGAAUAGAUUUUUUGAAUUUAUGAUAACAUCAUGCUGUAUCUAUUAAUCAUUAGAAAAAAAUGUUGAAUUCUUCUCAGUAACUAGAUACUAAAUAGUUUCAAAUUUGUUUCAAGAUUUAGGACAUUAUACUGUUUCUCAUUGUUUAACAUCCUAGCUCUGGAUACAGACUAUUUUCUUGAAAUAUGCUACAUGAAUUCAAGGAUAUGUGAAUUAAAGAUGUGAGAAACUUAUAAACGAUAGAUAUUACUAAGUGUAGUUGAACAAGAAACUUGCAACAGUGAAGCCCAAAAGGAGACAUACUUUAUAAUGAGUUUUAUGAAUUGUGUUAUAUUUAAAAUAAUAUCUGUUAAACAUUAAAGCUAAUAUAACUAAAAGUUUAUUAACAUCUACAAAAACUGCACCAUCCACUAAAACGUUAGUUUGAAUUUGGCAAUACACAUCUUACAUAGAAAAUAGUAUAUAUAUAUAU